UACGUAGGGGGCUAGCGUUGUCCGGAAUCAUUGGGCGUAAAGAGCGCGUAGGCGGCCAGAUAAGUCCGGUGUGAAAGUCAAAGGCUCAACCUUUGAAUGCCGCUGGAAACUGUCUGGCUAGAGCCCGGGAGGGGCGAGUGGAAUUCCUGGUGUAGCGGUGAAAUGCGCAGAUAUCAGGAGGAACACCAGUGGCGAAGGCAGCUCGCUGGAACGGUACUGACGCUGAGGCGCGAAAGCGUGGGGAGCAAACAGG
rnacentral:rRNA from 1 species